AACGAACGCUGGCGGCACGUUUUAAGCAUGCAAGUCGAAUGGCACUGGGGGCAACCCCAUGAGGAUUGCGAACCGGGGAGUAACACGUACGUGAUCUGCCUGACGGAUGGGGAUAGCUUGUGGAAACACCGGGUAAUACCGAAUGAGCUGACGAGGCUAUGGUUUUGUUAGUAAAGGUGCUACGGCACGGCCGGCAGAGGACCCUGCGGCUGAUUAGCUAGUUGGUGGGGUAAAGGCCUACGAAGGCGACGAGCAGUAGCCGGCCCGAGAGGGAGGACGGCAACACUGGAACUGAGACACGGUCCAGACUCCUACGGGAGGCAGCAGCUAAGAAUCUUCCGCAAGGGGCGAAAGGCUGACGGAGCGAUGCGGCGUGAUCGAUGAAGGUCGAGAGAUUGUAAAGAUCUUUUCUACAUGAGGAAUAAGUCUGGGAGGGAAUGCCUGGAUGAUGACGUUAGUGUAGGAAUAAGCCCCGGCUAAUUACGUGCCAGCAGCCGCCGUAA
rnacentral:rRNA from 1 species